ACACACUUCCGCUUCCGGGGCACAAAGCCCCGCGUCUACGGCUCCCCCGAAAGGAUAGAAGGGGUGUUUCUUUGCUGGAGCUGACCUUUGACCUUAGUGUUCUCCCUGUACGUCACUGCCGCGGCAAGCUAGCAGCGAGACAGGACCUCCUCGGGUGCGACCUCGAGGAAAAGUCAGGACUUAGGGGAAAGCGACUACGUGAAAGAGUGCAGAACUCCGCAAGGGCGCGCGGCCUAGGGCUUCUGAAGCCGCGGGAGGCGGGGUCCCGGAGGGGCGGGGUUUGGCGUUUCGGCUCUCGGGAUUGGACGAUCUGAGGAGGGCGGGGUCGCAGCGCGCGUGUCUGGCUGCGCGUGCUCAGUGAGAACCUGCUCUUGGCUUGUCCGCGCACUUCGCCAUGGACUUUCAGUCCGCUCGGAGAGCUGUACUUCAGUUGCUCGGAACUACGGCUCCCGCAGAUGUCCCGGCACUGCUCCACUGGAUGAGGACUACCCGGGAUUUUGAUGAAUUUACUCACGAUAAUAAUGACAUCAUGUUGAAAAACAUAGCUGAUGACCUUCGGAAGUGCUUGCCUGUAGAAGCUGUGCUUUGCUCGGAACAUCUGGCCCUUCAGAAAAUACGACAACAGCCAGAGCCCACAGUGCAUGUUGAUGCAUUCCUUUAUGAUGAAGACUUUAUUGAUACAUUAUGUGAGGAAGGAAAAAUGAGCAGAAACUACUGUACGGUGUGCGGCUCACACCGAACAGCGCCUUUGGGAUUUAUUUCUCACUCCUUCUCCCUCACGGAGUUGAAGUUCAUUUAUCAUCAUGUACUCCCUGAUCUGUCAGGAAAGGUCUUGGUUGACGUUGGCUCCAGACUUGGCACAGUCCUUUAUGGGGUAAAGUGCAGCUUGUGGACAUACUCAACAUGUGGAAAAUACUUUCUCCUGCUAGUGACAGCUUUGCCUGCCACCAUCCAAGGGUUACCUUUACAGCUCAGCAGUGCAGCUCUGUGGGGUAGAGCUGAAUGGACAAUUUUGCCAGUUGCAGGAAAUGAUCAUAAAGAAAUACCAGUUCGGUGACAGAAUAAAGGUACCUUUACCAUAUUUUUUUAUUACUUCUAUGACUCUUUCCUAACUGCUUCUGUAUUCUCACAGUACGGCUACUGUGUGGGAAUGCACUGAGUUGACCGGCUCUCUUACUAGUGAGUGUUUCCUCUGUUUUCUUCCUGUCAGACGGUUUGGGUAACGGAACUGUAAAUAACUCUCCAAGGCUGGCUGCCAGUGUAUUUUAUUAAACUGGAAAUUGAAGGGCUUGCACCCCUCAUGGUUGCUUAUCUUGUCAACUAGGAGCUGUUGUAAAUGUCACAGGAUAGUGGUCAUUAGGGAAAGAUGCUUCUCUUAGGCUAGAACAGGGUUCCCCUUUCUUCUGUAAAAAAAAGUAACAAGAUAAAAGAUUUGGGGUUUUGGUUUUUUGGAGGGUUCUGUUUUCUAAUGCAGUGAUCCUUGAAAUUGCACUAAGAUCCUUCUAUGUUCCUCAUGGCAAUGCAGAAAAUAUUAGCAAUCUCUGAUGUUAAGGACAGCAUAACAUUGGAAAAACUCAGUGAGUUAAAGGUCAGGGGGCUGGAGAGAUGCUCAGCAGCAGGUAAGAGGGUCUGCUGCUCUCACAGCUGGCCCAGGUAGGGCUCCCAGAGCCCACAUCCAGUGUUCACAGUGCUUGUAAGAUCAGCUGCUCCUGAGCUGAUCCAGCAUGCUCUUCUGGUCCCCACAGGCACCUGCACAUGGUGUGCAGACAAACAAGCAGGCACACGGACAUGGAAAUGUUUUAAAAGUUGAAGGAUGAAAACUUCAUCUUUCUGAUAAAGGUUAUUUUAUAUUCCCACAGUGUUUCUUUUCCCCACCCUCAUUUUAGAAAUGUAGAGAUAAGCCAGGCAGUGGUGGCACAUGCCUUUAAUCCCAGCACUUGGGAGGCAGAGGCAGGCGGAUUUCUGAGUUCAAGGCCAGCCUGGUCUAUAGAGUGGGUUCCAGAACCCAGGGCUACACAGAGAAAUCCUGUCUCAAAAAAAAAAAAAAAAAAAAAAAAAAAAGUAGAGAUAAGUGAUCAGCAUAAAUACAUUAUCUGGUAAUAAGUUUAUGGGGUCGGGGUAAGGCUGGUGGUAGGAUACUUUUCUGCCAUGCCCAACAUACUGGAUUCAGGCCCUAGAACUACAAACAAAAUUCAUGGGUUUUCUUUUCUUUAGCCUAGCUGGCAUGGAACUCACUGUGUGCACCAGACUGGCCUCAAACUGCUCUUAUGUAAUAAUCACAUACUUAAUAGGAAUUUCUAUUAAGUUGAAGAUUGAGAUUUAAAAAUUAAGAACUCAUUGGGAGCGGGAGAGAUAGCUCAGCAGUUAAGAGCAUUGCAAAGGACUCAGGUUCAAUUCCCAGCACACACACAGCAACAACUAACUGUCUAUGACUCCAACUCAGAAGCAGAGGCAAGUGGAUGUCUGUGAGUUCAAGGCCAACCUGGACUACAGAACAAGUUCUAGGACAACCAGGGUUAUACAGAGAAACUGUCUCAAAAAACAAAAACAAAAAUUAAGACCUCUGAAGAAUCAUACUUAAUAAAGAAUAAUAAUAAAGUGCUUGCUUCUGUUUUUUAAUAUGAUAAAGAUGUAUAAAAUGUUUAUUUAUAUUUUUAUGAAUUCUUUUAUUACUUUUCAAAAUAAAUUAUUUCAGUACACACCCAUGUAAUUUUUUUCUGACAUGUAACUUCAUGGCUACCUUCAGUAACUUUUUGGUGAGAAACUUGGUUUGUUUGUUUGUUUUUUUUUUCUCCAGUGUGGCCUCAAGCUCAGGGCCUUUUUAUACCACCCUAUGGCUACACCCCCUCCCCCGAAGUUGUAGAUAAAUACUGGAUUGAAGGCUCUUAAAAUCAACAAACACGGUUUCUGUAGUUAUUUUAAAUAGUAUAUGUUGAAACCUAUCUUCCCUUUCAGGCGAAUUCUUUGCAUUUGUUUGUUUGUUUGUUUGUUUGUUUUUUCAAUUUCGUGUGUGUGUGUGUGUGUGUGUGUGUGUGUGUGUUGCCUGUGUGUUUGCUCUGCUGUCCUGUCUCCCAGCCUCCCUCCCAUCCCUCUCCUCCAGGCUGGCACUGGGCUUUCCCUCUUCCUAUCCUUGCUCUCUGCUCACUCCUCUGAUAGCACUGGGGAGUUAGGACAGUUGUUUUGGAGUGUUUGUCACAUUACUCCAGUGUCACACAUUUGAGCACAGAUACUGUAUCUCUUUUAACCUGGUUUGUCUCCCUCUACAGUAUCUUGCAUAGAAAAGAGGUACCCCUACAUUUUGCUUGAGUGUGAUUGUUUUAUGACUUCUGUACUGCCAUCAGUCCAGAGGCCGCCCUGGAACCCUGAGAGAUUUGUGUUGGCUGCCUUGAUUAACUGAGCCUUCAGAUUCUUCUUUCCCCAGUCUGUGUAGUAGAAAUACAGGAAGAAAAAUAUGAAGACAGAUGGGAAAGAAAAAAGAAGAAUGAAGAUAAAACUACUGACUAGUUCACAUAUCUGUUGCAUAGCUAGGCUGCAUGUUUAUAAUGUCUGCAAUUAUUAACUGGGUUGUUAGUGACAAGAGCCGGACUUAGCCUCUGAGCUGUCUCUCUGGCCCAGCUGUCUUUCUUUUUAUUGAUGAUUGUGUCAAAACUGUCUUUAAAGGUUCUAGGCCAAGUGAAUUUCUUUUAAGUGUAGAAUGUUUAUUAUUUAAAAGAAAGAAUGUUUCUUAAAACCAGACCAUAUAACACCUUGCAUAUUACAUAUUUGUAAUGCUUGAGUAUUUAUUUGAAAAUAACUCAUAAACAUUUUUUCUGUUUCAAAGUAAAAUCUAUUUUUUUACUCCUGAUCAAAUAAGUGUAUUUUCUUGCUAUUGUCCCUGUGGUCUUCGAAGCCUUAAUUAUGGUUAUGUCACAUUUUUGAGUUAUAUAGGUUUUUUUUAAGAUUUAUUUAUUUUAUUUUAUGUGUGUGUUUUGCCUGCUCAUAUGUCUGCACCAUAUGUGGUGCCUAGAGACCACAGAAAUCGGAGGAGGGCAUUGGUUCCCCUGAGACUGGAGUUACAGAAGGUCGUAAGCUGCCCUGUGGGUGCUGGUAAUUGAACCUGUGUCCUCUGGAAGACCUCAGUGCUCUUAAGUGCUGAGCCAGCUCUUCAGCCCUAUGUAGGGUUUAAAUCAAUUGUUUUGCUUACGUUUUCAGCAGGUAAUAACAUUCAGGUGAGUGUUAGAAUCAAGUUAGCAUAAGACAUAUUAAUAUUUGAAAGAUUUGACAGUUUAUAAUUUACUCUAAAGGAUUUUGAGAGGUGUGGGUGUUUUUUAAGAUUAUAUUUUAUUUUAUGUGUUUUGAGUGUUUUGCCUGCCAUGGAUGUGUGUGUAUCACAUAUGUGCCUGGUGCCAGCUGAGUUAAGAAGAGGGCAUUGGAUCCCCUGGAACUGGAGUUAUAGACAGCUGUUAGCUGCCUUGUGGGUGCUGGGAGCCAAACCCCAUUUCUCUGUAAGAGCAGUAAAUGCUCUUAACCGUUGAGCCAUAAUUUUUAUAUUGUAUCAUCAGGACUGAUAACCACUAUAAAAAAAGAAAUUAACUACCCAAGAGUACAAAUCUAGUUGGACAGAGCCAUAAUUGAAACCUGGAUCUUUUGACUCUUAAACCUAACAAUGUAAUUAUAAUGGAAAAAAAUCUCUAAACUCCAUUAAAAAUUAAUAACCAGCAAGUGGGGGACACAAUUAUAACAAAACAAAUAAUUCCAUUUAAAGCAAAUCUUCUCUGCAAGCUUCUGGGUUUUACUAGAUAACAAGUAUCUCUGUGGUCCUCACAGCAUCGCAGGCCAGCAGGCAUCUCCUGUGUGGCUGCGUGCUCGCUCUGCUGUUCUCGUCGUCCUCUUACAUCUUACAUGCUAUACUCGUUCUUUAGGUGCUUCAUGCAGACAUCUGUACCCAGAGUUCCCUUCUGCAAACUGCUGAUGUCAUUGUAAUGAAUAAUGUCUUCGAAUAUUUUCUUACUGAGGCUCAACAGGCCAGUUUUUGAUGUUUUCUAGUGCCUGGAACUACAUCAUCCAUAAUGUAAGAAAGCAAGGAUCACUAUUAGUGACAGUACCAAGUCUCCAAGAGUCUCUCAUGGGGCUACAGAUUAAUGUGCAGCUGUCCUCCUGGGUGGAAGAGAUUCCUCUGAGCUUGGAUGUGUACUCACAAAGGGACAUUGACCAAGAAGCUCUUCAACAAAUCCAUUUAUAUAAGGUUCUCUAGCACCAAAGCAACCUAGUGAUACCUUAACCCAUAUGCUUUGUAUAUUCCCUUGCAAACAUGACCGUGUGCCAGUAACUAGUUCUGUGUGACUAUGCAUAUGCAGUAGUCGUAUGUGGAUAUAAAUAAACUAUGAUAAGAUAACUAAAAUAUAUAUAUCUGAAA